UACGUAGGGUGCGAGCGUUAAUCGGAAUUACUGGGCGUAAAGCGUGCGCAGGCGGUUUUGUAAGACAGAGGUGAAAUCCCCGGGCUCAACCUGGGAACUGCCUUUGUGACUGCAAGGCUGGAGUACGGCAGAGGGGGAUGGAAUUCCGCGUGUAGCAGUGAAAUGCGUAGAUAUGCGGAGGAACACCGAUGGCGAAGGCAAUCCCCUGGGCCUGUACUGACGCUCAUGCACGAAAGCGUGGGGAACAAACAGG
rnacentral:rRNA from 1 species